AGGACGAACGCUGGCGGCGUGCUUAACACAUGCAAGUCGAGCGGUAAGGCCUUUCGGGGUACACGAGCGGCGAACGGGUGAGUAACACGUGGGUGAUCUGCCCUGCACUCUGGGAUAAGCCUGGGAAACUGGGUCUAAUACCGGAUAUGACCUGCUCUCGCAUGGGGGUGGGUGGAAAGAUUUAUCGGUGCAGGAUGGGCCCGCGGCCUAUCAGCUUGUUGGUGGGGUAAUGGCCUACCAAGGCGACGACGGGUAGCCGACCUGAGAGGGUGACCGGCCACACUGGGACUGAGACACGGCCCAGACUCCUGCGGGAGGCAGCAGUGGGAAUAUUGCACAAUGGGACGAAAGCCUGAUGCAGCGACGCCGCGUGAGGAUGAAGGCCUUGGGUUGUAAACCUCUUCAGCAGGACGAAGCGCAAGUGACGGUACUGCAAGAAGAAGCACCGGCUAACUACGUGCCAGCAGCCGACGGUAAUCGUAGAGCGGC
rnacentral:rRNA from 1 species